GUUCCAAUUGCGUGCGCGUAUGGAUGCUCCUUUCGCCGCCGCCUUUCUAGCAACUAGUUGAUGUUAUGAUGCAUCGUUGGUCCGGUGUACGACGGCGCCUGGUGCGAUUUAUGCGUCCGGAAGCCCUUUCAGCCUCCAGGCAUGUCCCCACCUGCCUCACAGCCACCGACGCAUCUCACGGCGGGGGUCUAAUUGCGUGCGCGUAUGGAUGCUCCUUUCGCCGCCUUUCUAGCAACUAGUUGAUGUUAUGAUGCAUCGUUGGUCCGGUGUACGACGGCGCCUGAUGCGAUUUAUGCGUCCGGAAGCCCUUUCAGCCUCCAGGCAUGUCCCCACCUGCCUCACAGCCACCGACGCAUCUCACGGCGGGGUUCCAAUUGCGUGCGCGUAUGGAUGCUCCUUUCGCCGCCGCCUUUCCAGCAACUAGUUGAUGUUAUGAUGCAUCGUUGGUCCGGUGUACGACGGCGCCUGGUGCGAUUUAUGCGUCCGGAAGCCCUUUCAGCCUCCAGGCAUGUCCCCACCUGCCUCAUAGCCACCGACGCAUCUCACGGCGGGGUUCCAAUUGCGUGCGCGUAUGGAUGCUCCUAUUCGCCGCCGCCUUUCUAGCAACUAGUUGAUGUUAUGAUGCAUCGUUGGUCCGGUGUACGACGGCGCCUGAUGCGAUUUAUGCGUCCGGAAGCCCUUUCAGCCUCCAGGCAUGUCCCCACCUGCCUCACAGCGACCGAGGCAUCUCACGGCGGGGGUCUAAUUGCGUGCGCGUAUGGAUGCUCCUUUCCCCGCCGCCUUUCUAGCAACUAGUUGAUGUUAUGAUGCAUCGUUGGUCCGGCGUAUGACGGCGCCUGGUGCGAUUUAGGCGUCCGGAAGCCCUUUCAGCCUCCAGGCAUGUCCCCACCUGCCUCACAGCCACCGACGCAUCUCACGGCGGGGGUCUAAUUGCGUGCGCGUAUGGAUGCUCCUUUCCCCGCCGCCUUUCUAGCAACUAGUUGAUGUUAUGAUGCAUCGUUGGUCCGGCGUACGACGGCGCCUGAUGCGAUUUAUGCGUCCGGAAGCCCUUUCAGCCUCCAGGCAUGACCCCACCUGCCUCACAGCUACCGAGGCAUCUCACGGCGGGGGUCCAAUUGCGUGCGCGUAUGGAUGCUCCUUUCCCCGCCGCCUUUCUAGCAACUAGUUGAUGUUAUGAUGCAUCGUUGGUCCAGUGUACGACGGCGCCUGAUGCGAUUUAUGCGUCCGGAAGCCCUUUCAGCCUCCAGGCAUGUCCCCACCUGCCUCACAGCCACCGACGCAUCUCACGGCGGGGUUCCAAUUGUGUGCGCGUAUGGAUGCUCCUUUCCCCGCCGCCUUUCUAGCAACUAGUUGAUGUUAUGAUGCAUCGUUGGUCCGGUGUACGACGGCGCCUGAUGCGAUUUAUGCGUCCGGAAGCCCUUUCAGCCUCCAGGCACGUCCCCACCUGCCUCACAGCCACCGACGCAUCUCACGGCGGGGUUCCAAUUGUGUGCGCAUAUGGAUGCUCCUUUCCCCGCCGCCUUUCUAGCAACUAGUUGAUGUGAUGAUGCAUCGUCGGUCCGGUGUACGAUGGCGCCUGAUGCGAUUUAUGCGUCCGGAAGCCCUUUCAGCCUCCAGGCAUGUCCCCACCUGCCUCACAGCUACCGAGGCAUCUCACGGCGGGGUUCCAAUUGUGUGCGCGUAUGGAUGCUCCUUUCCCCGCCGCCUUUCUAGCAACUAGUUGAUGUUAUGAUGCAUCGUUGGUCCGGUGUACGAUGGCGCCUGAUGCGAUUUAUGCGUCCGGAAGCCCUUUCAGCCUCCAGGCACGUCCCCACCUGCCUCACAGCCACCGACGCAUCUCACGGCGGGGGUCUAAUUGCGUGCGCGUAUGGAUGCUCCUUUCCCCGCCGCCUUUCUAGCAACUAGUUGAUGUUAUGAUGCAUCGUUGUUCCAGUGUACGACGGCGCCUGAUGCGAUUUAUGCGUCCGGAAGCCCUUUCAGCCUCCAGGCAUGUCCCCACCUGCCUCACAGCCACCGACGCAUCUCACGGCGGGGUUCAUAUUGCGUGCGCGUAUGGAUGCUCCUUUCGCCGCCUUUCCAGCAACUAGUUGAUGUUAUGAUGCAUCGUUGGUCCGGCGUACGACGGCGCCUGAUGCGAUUUAUGCGUCCGGAAGCCCUUUCAGCCUCCANNNNNNNNNNNNNNNNNNNNNNNNNNNNNNNNNNNNNNNNNNNNNNNNNNCUUUCCCCGCCGCCUUUCUAGCAACUAGUUGAUGUUAUGAUGCAUCGUUGGUCCGGUGUACGACGGCGCCUGAUGCGAUUUAUGCGUCCGGAAGCCCUUUCAGCCUCCAGGCAUGACCCCACCUGCCUCACAGCUACCGAGGCAUCUCACGGCGGGGUUCCAAUUGCGUGCGCGUAUGGAUGCUCCUUUCCCCGCCGCCUUUCUAGCAACUAGUUGAUGUUAUGAUGCAUCGUUGGUCCAGUGUACGACGGCGCCUGAUGCGAUUUAUGCGUCCGGAAGCCCUUUCAGCCUCCAGGCAUGUCCCCACCUGCCUCACAGCCACCGACGCAUCUCACGGCGGGGUUCCAAUUGUGUGCGCGUAUGGAUGCUCCUUUCCCCGCCGCCUUUCUAGCAACUAGUUGAUGUUAUGAUGCAUCGUUGGUCCGGUGUACGACGGCGCCUGAUGCGAUUUAUGCGUCCGGAAGCCCUUUCAGCCUCCAGGCACGUCCCCAC
rnacentral:lncRNA from 1 species